UGACCUCGAUCAGGUAGGAUACCCGCUGAACUUAAGCAUAUCAAUAAGCGAAGAAA
rnacentral:rRNA from 1 species